UACGAAGGGGGCUAGCGUUGCUCGGAAUCACUGGGCGUAAAGCGCACGUAGGCGGCUUUUUUAAGUCAGGGGUGAAAUCCUGGAGCUCAACUCCAGAACUGCCUUUGAUACUGAGAAGCUUGAGUCCGGGAGAGGUGAGUGGAACUGCGAGUGUAGAGGUGAAAUUCGUAGAUAUUCGGAAGAACACCAGUGGCGAAGGCGACUUACUGGACACAUACUGACGCUGAGGUGCGAAAGCGUGGGGAGCAAACAGGG
rnacentral:rRNA from 1 species